rnacentral:rRNA from 1 species
AAAAGAACUUUGAAGAGAGAGUUCAAGAGGACGUGAAAUCACUUGGAUCGAAGCGGAUAGAGUUGACGAAACUGGCGACAUUCAGGUCGUGCGUUGCCGUGCUGCGGGCGGGCGUCUUCAACGGCGUCGUAAGUCCUAUUUUUCGGUGGCGUUGCGUACUGCGCUUGUUGCUGGUAUACGCUGAGGCGGACGAUUGCCCCUUCCGAAGCGAUGUAGCGUGGCCCAUGCUUAUGUGGUGUCCUACUACGCGCCGAGGUUGAUGUGGCGGUUGUCUGUCAGCGCGUUCCCUGCCUCUGCGCUUGGCGUCGUCGUGUGUGCUGUGAGCGGUGUCGGAGGCUUGCCUCCUGGUGUUGCUUGCGGUGCUGCGGUGGCGUCUUGCUGCUCGGGAGCGUUCUCGGUGUCGAAAAGUCGACCACCUAUCCGACCCGUCUUGAAACACGGACCAAGAAGUUUAGUACGUACGCGAGUCAUUGGGUGCAAAACUCAUAUGGCGUAAUGAAAGUGAAGGUCUUCGUUGGUUGACUGAUAUGUGAUCGGUGGCAUUGCCGCCGCGCAACAUAGCCCCAUGCCGAUUGCAUGCAAUGGUGUGGAGGUAGAGCGUACGUACUGAGACCCGAAAGAUGGUGAACUAUGCUUGAGCAGGACGAAGUCAGAGGAAACUCUGAUGGAGGUCCGUAGCGGUUCUGACGUGCAAAUCGAUCGUCGGACUUGAGUAUAGGGGCGAAAGACUAAUCGAACCAUC